rnacentral:tRNA from 1 species
GUGACGUAGUCAGUAGUGUGUCUGGCUCGCAACCGGAAAAUCGCAAGUUCGAAUCCUGCC